UCUCUUUUCCUUUCUUUGAGACCAUGUCUCAGUUUGUAGUCCAGGUACUUCCUGUGCAGUCUGAGAUAACUUAGAAUCUACAGUCCCUUUGCCUGUGCCUUACACAUGUUUGGCUUACAGGUAUGAGUCACCAUGCACAACUAGAGUGGCCUUUACAAGGGGCACCUAAAAUCCAUCUAUAGUCUUCAUAUCAUUUACAAUAAAACAAAAUCUUAGCUGCAGUCAAUAGACUCCUUCUUUCUAUCAAUAUCUGGUGCCUGCCUCCUCUCACCUGUCAGGAUGGAGCCACUGCUGAGCUCUGGCUCCAUUCUGGUAUAUUGUGAAGGGAGAGCCAUUAAGAUUUGACAAGGAAGCUAGGUGGUGGUGGCAGCGGCAGCGGCGGCGGUGGCAACAUGCGCCUUUAAUCCCAGCACUUGGGAGGUAGCGGCAGGCGGCUCUUGCAGUUCAAGCCAGGUCUAUAGAGAGAAUCCUAGGAAGCCUGAUCUAUGCAGAGCAACCCUGUCUUGAAGAGCAAACACAAAGAUCUGCCAAGGGAUUGGGGGAGGAUCAGGAGAGGAACUGUGGAGUCAAGGUUGUCUGUGGUGGUAUUUCUUAUCUAGACCUCAGUAUCAUCUUGCUUCCAGAACCACAUCAUGGUGAAGACGACAGGGAGACUCUGGUAGCCAUGAUACUGCCGCUCAGGUCUUUGCCCACCCCACUGGCAUGCUUUACACUCCCUGUUUCAAAUGAGGAAACAUGUCACAGAUGUGAAGUGAGUGACCCAAGGUCGCACAGCUGGAAAGUCACCACUCCAGCUCCAAAGAAACAUGUGAGCCCACGGACUUCAUCUCCAGCAGAGGCAUUAUGGUGUUGAUCCUGGAACCUGACUGCCUGGGUGUAACCUCAACUCUGCCAGCUACUGACUUGCUCUGGGCCUGUGUUUCCUUAUCAGGAAAAGGUGAUGAGUUACAACAAUGUGUCCACCCUGGCUAACAUCGUUGUGAAGACUGAAGGAGAUAAUGUGUAUGAUGGACUUGGCAUUGUGAAGCUGUUAUCACUACUGUUCCCACUGCUCUAGGUCUGAGCUCCUCCCCUGGCCAUGGCGGGCAAGUCCAGAGGGUGGAGAGAAAAACCAGGCUGAGAAUUUCUUGCCUCAUCAUCCUCAAUGUGCAGGAGCAGAGAGGGCAGAGGACAGAGGAGGGGCCGCGUGACUGCCUGGGCUGCUGAGCAAUUUACUGGAGAAGCUCAUUUGGCAACUCUGAUUCCAAGUUAAUUAAAGAUGGCCACCGGGGGUCAUUGCCAUGGUGACAAUUAGGCCAGAAAGAAGCCUCAUUAAGAAAUAUAAAUGCACCAAUGAAAAUGAGAAGUCCCAGGAAGUCACAAAAAGAGGCUGUCCCCUGCUGUACCCCACCUCAGACAUAAUGUCUGUUGACAUUUUCCAUGUGAUAAGUUAAGCACAGGCUACAGGAUUCAAAGAAAGGGGGGCAUGGACUUCGGGGUUUGUGCCCUUUUCUACUGUUUGUAUUUUAUCAGAAAAAAAUGUCAAAUAAACUGCAGUGAAAAUA